rnacentral:lncRNA from 1 species
AGCCACACCCACAGAGCUUAGGUUUUGUAUAUAAGUCGUCACAUACAACCUGCGCGAAUAACUUCACUUUGGCUGACAACUAAAUUGUGUAAAACUUUUUCAACAGCGGCAUCCUAUAUUCAAGAUGGUUUCACAGGUGCAUGAAUUUGAAGUGGAACUGACUUCUCAGGAUUGUGUCGACGUUAUUAAGAAAACCAUGGAAGGCAUGGAAGGCGUAAACAAGGUGGACAUUGAUCUCGAGAAUAAGCGAGUUUUUAUUGAUUCCAACUUGUCCUCUGAUGUGCUUCUCGAAGCUCUGAAUAAGACAGGAAAAAAAUCUUCUUAUGUUGGAGUGAAGACUGCUUGAAACGUUCCCAAUUUGUCAUCUGGACCAAUGAUCAUCUGUAGAUGCAUUUCCGGGAGUUUUUGUUUUAACAUGCUAGUUAAAUGUGCUAAUCUGUAAACGUUUCAUGCGUUUUAAAUCGCCAAACUAAUUGUAUUUAUAUAGCAUUUUCCUUAUUAUAAAAGCUGGAAUAUAUUAAAAUACUGGUGAUUCCGUAAAAGAAAUAAUAAUAUAUAUAAAAAAAUUCAAUCCUCCAGAAGCGUUAAAAUGUAGUUUCAAAACUGCAUUGGCUACUCAACCUUUUUUUUAAAUUUCUUAAGAAAAGAAAGAAACAACAUGGCGACGGUUACUAAUAAUAUGAGAACGUGUAAAUCUAUAUUCACUAAAAUUUAUAUCUGAACAAGCAUUAGCUUCAUUGUAUUUUGUCAAUGAAGAUUUGAUAGUGGCAUUGUCUUGAAUAUGUAUUUCAUGUUCUGCAAUUGUAAAAUAUUAAAAAUUUCCUUAUGUACAACUUCAGUUUUUAAAUAGAAAAAAUGUUUAUGUGCAUCUAGUUACUGAAACUUUUGCACUGUGCUAUCAAUUUCUAGAAUGCAAAACAGUGCGGCAUUGCCUUGAAUAUGUAUUUCAUGUUCUGCAAUUAUCAAAGAUUAAAAAUUUCCUUAUGUAUAACUUCAGCUUUUAAAGAGAAGAAAUGUUUAUGUGCAUCUAGUUACUGAAACUUUUGCACUGUGCUAACAAUUUCUAGAAUGCAAAACAGUGCGGCAUUGUCUUGAAUAUGUAUUUCAUGUUCUGCAAUUGUAAAAGAUUAAAAAUUUUCUUAUGUAUAACUUCAGUUUUCAAAGAGAAGAAAUGUUUAUGUGCAUCUAGUUACUGAAACUUUUGCACUGUGCUAACAAUUUCUAGAAUGCAAAACAGUGCGGCAUUGCCUUGAAUAUGUAUUUCAUGUUCUGCAAUUAUCAAAGAUUAAAAAUUUCCUUAUGUUUAGCUUCAGUUUUUAAAGCAAUAUAAUAAAUUAGAUGUGGCACAAAUUCUUAUUUUAUUAUCACGAAGAAACAAACAAGUUUUUCUUAUUGGAAAAUAAAAAGGGAAAAUACUGUACAAUUUCUUGAAAGUAAAAAUGUGACGAACUUGUCUAACAUAGUUGAAGUUUUAUAGAUUUUGUAAAGACAUUAACACUUGUAGUAAUAUUCUGUAUAUGGUUAACACACAGAUUUUGAACAUAAAUUCUUCUAGUAAAGGUUUACAUGGUUCAUUAAAUGUUUUUAGUCAAUUUCGCUUCCGCAAAAAAAUAUCAGUGCAUUCAAAGCUAAGCUUACUUCAGCUUAAUGGAUAAUAAUUCUAAUCUUAUUCAUAUCCCAAAUUAAUGAAGAACGUUUGUAUCUUAGUGCUAUUGGCAUAGCGGUAUGUCUGCGGACUUACAACGCUAGAAAUCGGGUUUCGAUACCCGUGGUGAGCAGAGCACAGGUAGCCCAUUGUGCAGCUUUGUGCUUCAAAACAAAACAAAUCCUUACUACAUGUUGAAAACGUUACGCACUAUAAUUUUGUUCACUGUCUAGUUAUCGCACGUCUACAGUUUCAAUUCUAAAUGUGUUAUUACUGUUUUGGUGUCUGCUCUUACAGAAAAAAAAACAGUAUGGAAAAGACAAUAAUAAAUGCGUAUGUAAGUAUUGUGAAAUUAUUCAUCAGUCCUAAGACCUUUUAUUUAUCUCAAUAAAUAUAUUUGUGCACAUGUUACGCAACGACAUGAAUAGAUAUAUUAGUAGGUUCUAACCCGUACAAUUUAAGUCAUGCAUAGUAGACUUUUGGCGGUGGGCCAACACAAAUGUAACUUCGACUUUGCUUCAUAGGAUGUGACCCCCGUAUCGGUCUGGUUAAUAGCUAACAAAAAAGGUCGAAGUAAAAUAUGACGUCACUGAAAUCCAAUGUGAUUACUGUGAUAAACCGUAUUUUUUUGUUUAGUCGAGGAACUACGUACCAUAUACACGAACAAGGUUCUCUCACAAAUAAUCACAGCAUUGAAUGAAUACUAACAAUUUUGAUGUAUUUUAAUAUAAGUACAUUGAAAAUAGACCAGCAGUAAUCUGUUUCCUUGUUAUCUGUGCAACUAUUUAAUACAACAUAAUUUAUACACAGAGUUAAAGAUAGAUAAGUGUUUCGCAAUCGUUGUAUGCCUAAUAAAAAUGGCUUUGGGAUUAGGCAAUCAGAGAUACGUGUACAAUAAUUUAACCAUUAAAAUUUGCAGUACAAUGAUUAAAUUGGACACAUGCAGAGUUAUGUUUUGACCUUACUGUAUUCAGGUUGAAAAAAACACUAGCCUUAGAAUUAAAGUUAAUAAUAUAACAUUAAAUAAAAGUCAGUCAAAUGAUUUGGUUUCUAACUCACACAUGUGAAAUGUUUCGUUAUUUUCAAAUAAUUUUAACAACUGUUAUUUAUUUAAAUACGGUGUAAAUUUGUUGAUUUGGGCUUUGAACAGUAAACGUCAGAGUAAAAACUUAAGAAACCUAGAAAACAAAGUUGCUUUAUUUUUGUAUGCACAUUUCGCCAUUGUGUUCUCUCUUACUGUCUGAUUUAAGUAAGAUAUAAUGAAUUUUUAUAUUAUUUCUUCUCGAUUGGUCAAUAAACAGAAUACCAACAAAUGUAUUUUAAACUUCUUAAAAAAAACACAAUAAAAAUCUGUUCGUGUAA